rnacentral:tRNA from 16 species
UCAUAGCACAGUGGUAGAGCGCUUGCCUGGCAUGGGCAAGGUCGCGGGUUCAAACCCCGCUG